AUACGUAGGGAGCGAGCGUUGUCCGGAAUUACUGGGUGUAAAGGGAGCGUAGGCGGGAGUGCAAGUCAGAUGUGAAAUACAUGGGCUCAACCCAUGGGCUGCAUUUGAAACUGCAUUUCUUGAGUGAAGUAGAGGUAAGCGGAAUUCCUGGUGUAGCGGUGAAAUGCGUAGAUAUCAGGAGGAACACCGGUGGCGAAGGCGGCUUACUGGGCUUUUACUGACGCUGAGGCUCGGAAGCGUGGGGAGCAAACAGGAUUAGAUCCCCUGGUAGUCCGCGCUGUAAACGAUGAUUACUAGGUGUGGGGGGACUGACCCCUUCCGUGCCGCAGUUAACACAAUAAGUAAUCCACCUGGGGAGUACGGCCGCAAGGUUGAAACUCAAAUGAAUUGACGGGG
rnacentral:rRNA from 1 species